GAGAGGGAGGAGGGGGAGGAGAGGAAGAAGCAGGGGGAGGGAGAGGAGGAGAGGGCCAGGGAGGAGGGGAGGGAGGAGGGAGAGAGAGAGGAAAGGAGAGAGGGAGGGAAAGAGACAGAAGGAGACCAAGAAGGGAGACGCACUGUGACUAGCAGAGUGGUGUUCUAGCUGCCCAGUGAAAGUUGCACAGUGGAGGUAAUCAUUCUUCAGAUUCUGCCGCUGCCACAGCAUAGAAAUCUGAAGGCAGGGAGCUGUGCCCGUCCUCCACCCACAGCUUCCAGCAAUUACUCAGAUGGCUGGUUUCCAGCGGCGAUCCUGGGCUUCUGUAAGGAGACAUCUACUACAGAUAAUUAGGAUUAAUAACUAAUAAUAAGAAGUUUCCAAAUGUCGAGAAUUCUUUUAUAAGAAUCUAUGUAUGUGGAAGGUGAGGAGAGAACUAGGUGGGAAAAGAGAAGAAUUUUUCUACUUUUCUUAAAAGACAGACAGAAAGAAAGAAAAAGAAAAAGAAAAAGAAAAAGAAAAAUAAAAAGAAAAAGAACCCAACCAAAAAACCCCAACCAUUUACUAAGCUGAUCCUGAAAAGAACCUUAUAGGAUACGCAUCAUUAUUGCCAUUUGACAACUAGCCUAACGUCACACAACUAGAGGUGAGUGGGCCCUUCUUCCUCUUCUGCUCCCAUUGUCCUCCUCUCCCCUUCCUCUCUUCCUCUUUUUCCCUGACAGCUUUAUUGUGCUAUAAACUUACAAACUUAACAGCUAGCCUUUGGAAAUAUACCAUGUCAUGACCUUAAAUAAAUGUGCUGGAUUGUGCAACCAGCACCACAGCCCAAGUUGAGGCCAUUUCCAGCAAGUUUUCUGAAGUCCAAGUGUGGUGGCCAUCACUCCUGCCCCCACCCCAGGCAAUCACUCAUCUACUUUCUGUCUCUAAAGAUUUGCCCUUUCCAGAGAUUUCAUACACAUGGAACUACACAAUAUGUAGCCUUCUGAUUGGACUUCUUCCGCUUAGAGCGUUUUUGUUAUGUUUAUUUAUUUUGAGAGAGAGAGUGUGUGAGCAGGGGAGGGACAGAGACAGAGGCAGAGAGAGAAUCCCAAGCACGCUCCUCACUGUCAGCGCAGAGCCUGAUGUGGAGCUUGAUCCCAUGAACCAUGAGAUAAUGACCUGAGCCAUUAUCAAGAGUCAGAUGCUCUGGGAAUGCAAGCUGGUGUAGCCACUCUGGGAAACAGUAUAGAGGUUCCUCAAAAAGUUAAAAAUAGAACUAUCCUAUGACCCAGAAAUUGCACUACUAGGCAUUUAUCCAAGGGAUACAGGUGUGCUGUUUCGAAGGGACACAUGCACCCCCAUGUUUAUAGAAGCACUAUCAACAAUAGCUAAAGUACGGAAAGAGCCCAAAUGUCCAUUGAUGGAUGAAUGGAUAAAGAAGAUGUGGUGUGUGUAUAUAUAUAAUGGAGUAUUACAAUAAAAAAGAAUGGAAUCUUGCCAUUUGCAACUAUGUGGAUGGCACUGGAAGGUAUUAUGCUAAGUGAAAUUAGUCACAGAAAGACAAAUAUAUGACUUCACUCAAAUGAGGGCUUUUAGAGACAAAACAGAUGAACAAGAGGGAAGGGAAACAAAAAUAAUAUAAAAACAUGGAGGGGGACAAAACAUAAGAGACUCAUAAAUAUGGAGAACAAACAGAGGGUUACGGGAGGGGUUGUGGGA